rnacentral:tRNA from 1 species
GCCUUUUUAGCAUAAAGGUAAUGCUACUGUUUUGUAAUCAGAGGAAGUAAGUUCAAUACUUGCAAAAGGCU